GACCUCGGAUCAGGUGGGGAUACCCGCUGAACUUAAGCAUAUCAAUAAGCGGAGGAAAAGAAACCAACAGGGAUUGCCCUAGUAACGGCGAGUGAAGCGGCAACAGCUCAAAUUUGAAAUCUGGUUCCUUUGGGGCCCGAGUUGUAAUUUGCAGAGGGUGCUUUGGCGUCGGCAGCGGUCUAAGUUCCUUGGAACAGGACAUCACAGAGGGUGAGAAUCCCGUACGUGGUCGCCUGCCUUCGCCGUGUAAAGCCCCUUCGACGAGUCGAGUUGUUUGGGAAUGCAGCUCUAAAUGGGAGGUAAAUUUCUUCUAAAGCUAAAUACCGGCCAGAGACCGAUAGCGCACAAGUAGAGUGAUCGAAAGAUGAAAAGCACUUUGGAAAGAGAGUCAAACAGCACGUGAAAUUGUUGAAAGGGAAGCGCUUGCAGCCAG
rnacentral:rRNA from 1 species